GGAAUCUUGCGCAAUGGGCGAAAGCCUGACGCAGCAACGCCGCGUGCGGGAAGAAGGCCUUCGGGUCGUAAACCGCUUUCAGCAGGAACGAAAAUGACGGUACCUGCAGAAGAAGGUGCGGCCAACUACGUGCCAGCAGCCGCGGUGACACGUAGGCACCAAGCGUUGUCCGGAUUUAUUGGGCGUAAAGAGCUCGUAGGCGGUCCAGCAAGUCGGGUGUGAAAACUCUGGGCUUAACCCAGAGCCUGCACUCGAAACUGCUGUGACUAGAGUUCGGUAGGGGAGCGGGGAAUUCCUGGUGUAGCGGUGAAAUGCGCAGAUAUCAGGAGGAACACCGGUGGCGAAGGCGCCGCUCUGGGCCGACACUGACGCUGAGGAGCGAAAGCAUGGGUAGCAAACAGGAUUAGAUACCCUGGUAGUCCAUGCCGUAAACGGUGGGCACUAGGUGUGGGUUUCAACCAAUGAGAUCCGCGCCGUCGCUAACGCAUUAAGUGCCCCGCCUGGGGAGUACGGUCGCAAGACUAAAACUCAAAGGAAUUGACGG
rnacentral:rRNA from 1 species